CAAAAGGACCAAAGAAAAGCAGUGGGUUUGGAGGACAAGGAAGGAACGGGUGCCAGCAAGCAGUCAGCCCCACUACUGGAUGACAAACCAUGGUCAUGGCAAAAAGCAAAUUUCUUUAAUCUCAGCACACCAACAGAAACAUCUCCCUUGCAGACCAGAGAUCCUGCCCCAUGAUCUCAUGGGGGAUCUCAUGCCCAGGAUCUCACAGUUCUGGGCAAGCACAGCACACUGGGGCAGAGGAAGAUUUCUCCUACUUCAAAAAAAACGGGUACCUCCAGGUUCUCUAUUUGAUGUUACCAGAAGCCAAGCUAUGUGCUCGUAGUGAGGGCCCUCCUGCUGGAUGCUGGUAUUUAUGAUCCCAAUGGAUCAUUUCAAGGGCCAUCCUGUUGCCACACUGAUGAUGGACACCACGAUGGCACUUUUGGAUCAUGCAGCUGUCUCUCUGCAGCACACCUACGGCUACUCUACAGCUACAAAGUCAUCUCCUCCAACUAACAGCAUCCCGUUGCACAUUCUGACAGAGAAUAUGCUGGACUUAGUAGCUAUAAAGAUAUUCUUGCAUGUCACAGAGUUAUUCGUGUUCCAGCAUGCCCAGAGUUCAGAUG